GGCUGUGUAGACUCUUCCGACACGACUGUUUGUAUCACUCUCUCCUUCACUUUAACUCGUCACUUCAGUGGCCCACUCUGCUUAACGCGGAUCCAGCACUCGAACCUCACGCCCAACCUGGCCGAGCUCGUCUCUUCCUUGCUAAGAUGCCGUCACCCCUACCAAGAGCCGCCUAACACCUUAGGGCAAAGUAAUUGCCUUUCUUCUUUCCUUCUAGGAAGAAUGGAUGCUCAAUGGUUCUGAGUUUUGGGGGGAUUUUUAAAAAAAAAAUCAAACUCAGGUUUCUGCCUGUAGCUCCUCCUUUCCUACUUUUCCAAAAAUUAACUUUCUGUGGCUCUGGCCACUGAAAAAUGGAAUGUGUCCUGAAGCCUGCUAGAACUCCACACAGGCACAAACUUGCAACAAGGAAGAAGCAGAACCUAAUCUGCCCAGAAAGGAGCAACUUGAGACCAGGUAUGAGGAAGCUGGAGGGUCCUUAAGAUGGUCAAUAGAUGGGCCAAUACUGCCCUCUGAGGUCCUGGACUGUAUCCAUGAGGAAGCGUGUCUCUGCCCUCAUUCCUAUUUGAUGGGGUUCGAAGGGCACGUCCACACGAGCAGCCAGGACCCAUGACCCUGGCAGCUCUGUGGGGAUGACUCAUCAAUCAGGCCGACAGCCACCAGAAACCGAGGACCAGAAUGGCAUGUCACUCAGCAGAGAACACGGGACCAGGGACUCCAGCCUGGGACGGCAGAACCUGGUAUCUGGUCACAUGGAAACACAGGGAAAGGCAGAGGGUGCGCUGCCUGGGAAGAACUGUGUUGAUUACCAGCCAGAUUCUCCACGUCCUACAGUCGUCAGCUGCCAAGCACUAAGCCACCUACAGAAGUGACACCCAGAUGGUCAACAUUCCUGGUGCCCAAGGUGCAGCGAUGGGUGGGAACUAGAGGUGCUUCACAGCCUACUCCAAGGGCAUUCCAUUAAAGAACGGCAUUGUCUGGAGUUUUCAAGGAUAGAGCAGACGUGAAUAAGCGUCCAGAAAGAGGGAGCGGCCUUCAUGGAUUUGGAAUGUCCUGUGCCACUGGAUGGAGGAAAGGCUUCUUACUCAUCAUAUUUGCAGAAAGAAAGGGGCCUCCCCCCUCAAAUGGCAGAGAUCUGCAAAGGCGUGAGACGUGACUCGGCACCAGGGUUCUGGUCCUCACUGGUGAACCAGCCUUGCCAUCCCAGCAUCUGAAUACGGGGAGGACUGACACCUUCAGUCCUCAGAAGCACCUCACCAUCUCAACUGUGCACAACCUGGGCUCCCAAGCGGAAGGAAGCUUCCCGGACACAGUGGCUCGUAACUCCCAGCACCUGCGCUCUGCACGAGCUGCCCUUGAAUGUUCUGAGAGCCCGGAGAGACGAGGGCGUGGGCCUGUUCUGCUGAGGCUUUGCCAUAAAGACCAGGAGAAGACAGAGGGAAGGAGCCUGGGCCGUCACAGACCGGGCUGGGCCACUCGGACCCUUUGAAAAACACCCACCUGGGCCUGGAAAAAGGAAGAAUCCAGCUGGAGACUGGUGGUCACAGGAAACAGGCCACCCGCUUCAUCAUUUCUUCUGCACAAAAAGCCCUUUUGAGAGUGUGAAUGGAGGCUUUAUGCAGUAAGUGCUCGUCCACAGGCUAAUGAACAUGUGGAAUGGCCUCCCAGACCAGGUUCCUGCAGCCUGGACACUGAGGUCAUUCAAGAAACAAUUAGAUGCCAUCUGGAGAAAGCUGGGACUCUAAAGGAAAUUGCCUCGGAGGCCCAAACAGCAUGUUUUCAUUCCCAAAGUCUGACAUAGCCUUAUCCUCAUUGACAUAAAGGACGCAUGGAGCUCAGCCAGCUAAUCCACACUGGGAGCACAAAUGGGCAAACGCAGCGGCGAUUAAUACUUAAGCUUAAGGAUCAGGAGAGCGUUCGUUCCCCGCCCGCCCCAAGUAGAUGCCUCCCUCGCCUGCACUUUCCCGCUCGAGCUGAGCCUCUGUGCCAUAAACCAGGCCUUGGCCUCCCCAAGCUUGGAGUUUUCAUGGUUUUAAUAUAAAGCAAUUAGAGCAGAACAGCAAUGGCUUCAGGCCCAGCUCUUUAAGGCACAUAGUGAGCCGUAAAAAUGAACUGAUCGUACAAAACAGUGUUUACUGGGGCUUCACAAGCCACUGAGUUGUAAAGACCAGGCCCGCCACAGAGAACUCUUAUUCCCAGGCUAGAAUCUCAAGUUUUUCUUAUUUUUAGAAAAAAAAUUGAGUGUCUCUUUUCUAUUCGUAAUCCGUAUCUUUAGAUGUAAAUGCAAUGGUUGAACAAGCCGGUUUAAAAAAUAUACUCAGCUAGAGAAUAAUAUAUAGACUUAGGUGAACAAGAGGCGGUGACAUGUGUUCUAAGUGUUUCUGCAGCUUCCUAACAGCUGUCACGGAGCCGGGGACCCUCCAGGACACGGUGCUCCAAGGGACAUGUACACUGAUGGGGAGAAAGCAAUGAUGGGCAAGACUGCUGGGAUCUUAGCACCGAGCUGGGGAGAGGCACCAAACUGGAAGUUCCCACACAAGCGCACACCAAGCCAUCUGCGUCGAAGGCCACACCGUCUUUCCAGCGCAGCGGUUCACCCCUCUUUGCUCCCGCCCUGCAUCCUGUCCACCAGGAAACCUUGAUUAUAUACCCUGAAUCUCCUUUCUUCACCACCCGUUCUGCUAUCACAGGUCCCAACUACCAUAAGCUCUCAUCUGGACAGUCACAAUGGCCACCCUACAGCUCUCCCUGCACCCAGCCGUCUGCUAGCAGCCAGAAGCCAAAGUGACCCUGAGACGGCUCCCCAUCUCCCUCUGUAGGUCAGUGUCCUCACUCAGACACAGAAGCCCCAUGCAGUCUGCCUCGCCCGCCUUCCCCAACUUCUCAGAUCAGCUUCCACCAUUCCCGCUCAAGUCCACCCGCUCUGGCCGCUCUGGCCUCAGAGUUGUUCCUGAAGGGAAGAGGUGAACUCCAGCUCCGUGGCCUUUCUCUGUCCUUUUCUCUUUAGACAACAGACUCGACUUGCCCCUCCACUCAGAAGUCACCUUUCCCAUGAAGCCUUGCCUGCCCACCCUACUAAAAAUUUAACGCUCCCUUACCCCAACAUUUUGCAGUUCCUUCCCCUGAUGCACCUCUCCUGCUUAGCACUCAUCACUGCCUAAUGUGGUUUACUUAAUUGUCUUCCUUAUCGUCUCCCUCCUCCACCUCCAAACAUAAGAUCCACAGAGGCAGGGACACUGUUUUGUCCACUGCUGUAUCCUUGGCUCCUAGGACAGUGACCAGCAGAUGGCAGAUACUCAAUAAAUACUUGUUAAAUUACUAUGACAUACAAAACAAACAUGACUAUAUUUGUUAAAUAACCGCAAAACUGUUUUUGAUAAGAAAACAUGAAAAAGAACCCAUAUGUCAGUAGGGAAUUGGUUAAAUAUAGUUGUAUCUUAUACAGUGUGAUACCAGAUAGCCAUUCAAGAGAAAGGUAGAUCUAUUUAUUUAACAUGAAGUCCAAUGAAAAAAAAGUAAGUUGCAAAGCAAUAUGUAGUUGUAUAGUAUUUUUUUUAUCAAUCAAUCAAUAAAUAUUGUUUCUCAACUCAGCCUUCUUGAUCUCCUAACAGUUGCACCCUCUCAGAUUUCCCAAGAGCCCCUGAAGCUUCCUCACUUCCUCGCUCUCAACUCAGGAAAUAAGAGAGCACCCACGCCUGCUAAAGGGCACCUCCCGCAGGGCUUCUCCCGAAGCUCCGCCCUGCCCAGCUCCGCUCAGUCUGGGCUAGGGUCCCACAGGCGUGGGGUCUUCCCCGCGAAUCUCUAGCACGUUGAUGAUGUCUUUGGCCUUACCCCGUAUCAGCCUCCUUCCUGUCAUGCUACCAUUUUUUUUGGUUGUCAAAUCAAAAUUCAAAUAAAAUUUUCAAAGGAAAUUUCUUGUUCACCACAGGUAAAACUUCAAACCAACACCAACCCCCUGUAAAAUCUACAUAUCAUAUCACAGCAUCUUAAACCUUUUUGC